rnacentral:rRNA from 1 species
AUGCCGCUGCGAGAUCUGGGGUGCCAUUUCUGUCCAUUUCGUGCCGAUGCGAUAUCGUGCGCGGCACAGGCGCACGGCACACACACGCAUGACACAUCCAGGGGGCAAAUCUCGUCAGGUAGGCGACGAAACGGCGGUCGUUGGCUCGGCUCGGCCGCCAGCCCGCGGCCACCAACCAAAACAAUCCCCCCGAACCGACGGAGCGUGCCGCGCCGAGGAAAGGAAGCCCCCGACCCCGGAAAGGCGCUGCGAAUUCUGUGUGGCUAUGGGGUCAGCGAGCAGAUAACGAAACGGAGGCUGCGGCUGCGCCCGGCGAUUCCCCCCCUGCCCCUCUCGUAG